rnacentral:rRNA from 1 species
AUCUGCCCUUAGGAGGGGGACAACAGUUGGANACGACUGCUAAUACCCCAUAUGCCGAGAGGUGAAACAUUAAUGGCCUGAGGAGGAGCUCGCGUCUGAUUAGCUAGUUGGUGGGGUAACGGCCUACCAAGGCGACGAUCAGUAGCUGGUCUGAGAGGAUGAUCAGCCACACUGGGACUGAGACACGGCCCAGACUCCUACGGGAGGCAGCAGUGGGGAAUUUUCCGCAAUGGGCGAAAGCCUGACGGAGCAAGACCGCGUGAGGGAGGAAGGUCUGUGGAUUGUAAACCUCUUUUCUCAGGGAAGAAGAACUGACGGUACCUGAGGAAUCAGCAUCGGCUAACUCCGUGCCAGCAGCCGCGGUAAUACGGAGGAUGCAAGCGUUAUCCGGAAUUAUUGGGCGUAAAGCGUCCGUAGGUGGCUAAGCAAGUCUGCUGUUAAAGAGCGGAGCUAAACUCCGUAAAGGCGGUGGAAACUGCAUAGCUAGAGUGUGGUAGGGGUAGAGGGAAUUCCCAGUGUAGCGGUGAAAUGCGUAGAUAUUGGGAAGAACACCGGUGGCGAAGGCGCUCUACUGGGCCACAACUGACACUGAUGGACGAAAGCUAGGGGA